rnacentral:piRNA from 1 species
UGAAAUUGGGAUUGAAGAGUGCAAUGAUUU